rnacentral:rRNA from 1 species
CGUAGGGUGCAAGCGUUAAUCGGAAUUACUGGGCGUAAAGCGUGCGCAGGCGGUUGUGCAAGACGGAUGUGAAAUCCCCGGGCUCAACCUGGGAACUGCAUUUGUGACUGCACGGCUAGAGUGUGUCAGAGGGGGGUAGAAUUCCACGUGUAGCAGUGAAAUGCGUAGAUAUGUGGAGGAAUACCAAUGGCGAAGGCAGCCCCCUGGGAUAACACUGACGCUCAUGCACGAAAGCGUGGGGAGCAAACAGGAUUAGAUACCCUGGUAGUCCACGCCCUAAACGAUGUCAACUAGUUGUCGGGUCUUAAUUGACUUGGUAACGCAGCUAACGCGUGAAGUUGACCGCCUGGGGAGUACGGUCGCAAGAUUA